CUCUACUCAAACGGUGGUGUCGAUCACUGCUCCAAUCGGAGACCAGGACUUUAUCAUGGCGGAGAAGACUGAAAAGAGUGUGAAAAUUGCACCUGGAGCUGUUGUGUGUGUAGAAAGUGAAAUCAGAGGGGAUGUGACUAUAGGACCACGGAUGGUGAUCCACCCUAAAGCAGGAAUUAUUGCGGAGGCUGGGCCCAUCAUCAUUGGCGAAGGGAACCUGAUAGAAGAAAAAGCACUGAUCAUAAAUGCUUACCCAGAUCAUAUAACUCCUGACACUGAAGAUCCAGAACCAAAACCUGUGAUAAUUGGAACCAAUAUUGUGUUUGAAGUUGGCUGCUAUUCCCAAGCCAUGAAAAUGGGAGAUAACAAUGUCAUUGAAUCAAAAGCGUACGUGGGCAGGUAUGUAAUACUGACACGUGGCUGCAUCAUCGGGGCUUGUUGCAACCUAAACACUUUUGAGGUCAUUCCUGAGAAUACAGUGGUAUAUGAUGCAGACUGCCUUUGCCGGGUGCAGACUGAGCGACCACAGCCCCAGACACUACAGCUGGAUUUCUUGAUGAAAAUCUUGCCAAAUUACCACCAUCUGAAAAAGACGGUGAAGAGAAGCUCCACUCUUGUUAAGAACUAGGAACAGAGUUGGCUGUCAUGACAAUAUCCAUCCUUGA